UGCAAUUUUUUAGCUCUCUCCACAACCUUUUAUUUUUUGUAGAUGCUGGGAUAUGUGUCACCCCGCAAUGUGUACUGCAGGUCUUCAGCCCUAAACCUCUGCCUUUCAGUUUAUCCUGCACUGACUAUGUGAUUGCAAGAUUUUCUGUAAUAGUAUUAGGGCCAGGAUGAAGACCCCAGUGUCAUCCCAAGGGACCAAGGCUUGUGGCCUGCGGCACGUGUGCUUGUGUUGUGUCCCUCUCGUGUUGCUGACCAGUGGCUUCGUUCAGGACCAAGUCACUGAUCGGGCAGACACAGCGCAACCCUGAAGGAAGAGAGAAUCUGCUUGAGGGCAUGUGGUAUGAGACAAGACUAUAAUACGGGUGCCCAUCUCAAGAUGAUUAAAAGCCAUUUUAUUGGCUGGAAACAGAAAUGGUUUAGUGAUGUUGUUAUAACUGCUUCCCUUGCACACACUCUUGGCUCACCAGCGUGCUUAAAAGCAACAGUUGUUAGCCAGCAGUUCAUCUCCAAUUAACAUAUCUCAUUUUUUUAAGAGUCCAGUAGUUUGACAUAGCUGGUAGAGUUUGUCAGGGUGGAGGUGGGGUGUCAGAGCUGAUUUUUCACUCUCUGUUGGGACAGUUGCUGUGACACAUGUUCCCACGCUACAUGAAAGGUCAUGCUCAUACACAUCUGCCAUUUAGGUAUUGCCUAUAUCCACCGUGAUGUACGCAAUAGGGGGGAAUCAGAGCUAUGAAAUUUCAGCAGGCUGAAGUAUGUGUCUUCUGGGACAGACAGUACACGUAUGGCAGGGCACAGUCAGAAACCUCGUCUGUUUAUGCACUGUUUGUGGUGGCUUGCUCCAUUACUGAUUUGAUACCAGAUUAACUAACAUGGGUCACAUGAUCUUCAAGAAAGCUUUAAUUUGUUUCACUGGCAUGUGACACAUCAUUCACUCCCAUAUUUAAGGACAACACUGGCCUGUCACAUGUCUCUUAGUACAGGAUCAACCUGAGGUGCAAGCUCAGUGCCCUUGAUCAUUUGCUUCAGAUGGCUAACUGAUUUGUUCUGAUGUGCUCUGGCAUAGAGGUGCACACACACACAUGCAAACACACAUGCCCACACACAGUGAUUCAAAAGAAAUACUGCUCUGGCCUGAGAUUAACUGCACAGGAUAUUGUCCUCCUCCACCUGUCCAGGUCCAAAGUCUGGUUCAUCAUGUGACAGUAUUUUGUGCUUGUCACAAGAUAAAGCAAAAAUGAUCACCUGAGGGCAAAUAGGCUGCUAGAUGUGAGGAGCUGUUCAGUUUGCUCAGGCAGGAGUUAACACUUCUUUGGAUGAGGUGAAGAUGGGAUUUUAAGUCCACAGGAAUUUUCUGUUGUUUCACUGAAGGAUACUGUUCAGGGUCCUAUUAGGUUUCUUGCUAGGUCCAGAUGUGCUGAAGAGCAUGCUGUUCGUUAACACAGGUAUCUAAGCACAGGGGGGGGUUGUUGGGGAGAACUCCUUCUAGCUAGCAGUCCCUUUAGGACAGCCUUCCCAGCUCCAAAGAGCCAAGCUCAGGCUCAAUGCUUUGGAGGGGUUUUCUGCUUUUGUCCUUACUACCUCUAGUAGGUACGUUUGAGUUUGGGCUUGAGUCUGCAGCGCCAAGUGGCUCCAGCAGUUGUGGCCUUACUGCUGCUGGAAGAAGAGCUGCUGGGUGUGCCAGCUACCUCCAAGCACUGAUUUUUUUUGGCCCAGCUGCUCUCUCCAAACUGGAGUUGCAGUGGAAGACAAUACAUAGCAGCAUGAAUAAUAAGGGAGUUUGGGUUCACGUGUAAGCUUGUGGCCUUGAGCUAACAUGAGAGCACAGACAUGGUUUGAAGCCUGUUCUUGAGUAUACUCUACAGCUGAGAGGGAGCAUCUGCUGCUCAUACAGGUGCACUGGGCCAGGACUUGUCCCUCCUUUCUCACCUCCUUUAAAGGGAUCUAAAGGCAAUAUGUGUAAUAGGUGUUUAUCCUUCUAAGCAAAGCAUUUGCAAGCAACAGAAGUCAUAACAAACUAGCAUCCUCGCACCCAAAUCGCCAAUAUUCACCUUGGCCCAAAUCUGACUGACAUGCCAGAGGUGAAUACUGGUGAUCUGAGUGAGAGGAUGCUAGUUUGUCAUGAAGAUCACAGUUCAUACGGUGGCUGCUGCCUUAUAGUUUGUAUUGCUUGCUUACUGACAUCCCCAGCACAGGAAGAAUUGAAGGAGCAUGUGUUUUCAUUGUGGAGGUCAGGACUUCAGGGAGUGCUUGGUAAGCUUGCAAUCUUAAAUAUUAGAAAACAAAAAAAUUAUUGAUCUUUGAAGGUGGUGAAUAGUCUGUGGUCAGGGCAUGGAAAAAACUGCCAGAAGAUUUUGCACUGCUCCUAUUUCAGGCAGAAAUGUUAUGGGAGAGGUAUGUAAUGAAAUUCGAAGGUUAAAAGACCUCAGCAUGAGAGAUCAAACCACCACUGGUCAAAUGGCAGUGACAAUAUGUUAUCUUCAGCAACAGAGAUCUUUGAACAAAGCCUUCUGCACUACCAGAAGGUACACCUGAAUGACGUGGCAAGAUCUCAACAUUCUGUGAUUGCUAUGACGACAUUCUCAGACAACUUUGUUUUAACAAAAAAGGAAGCGAUUUUAAAUAUAUAUACAAAUCUACAAUACUAUCAUUGCAUUUGUUAUUUUUGUUUGAGAUAGAUUUUUAAUAUCUGGAUAGUCACAUUUGUUAAACAUUUGCUGAAAGAAUUAGGAGUGCUGUACUUAACAGUACUACCAUGUAAAAUGUCAUGUUAAUUGCUUUUUAAGAUCUUAAGUACUUUUUAAAAGUGAGGUGACUUUAAGUUUCUGCAUUAACAAUCUUUGGAGAUAAUGAAGUAACUUCUACAAAUCAUCUGUGGAUUACAGAAUGGAAGUAGAAGUACUGUAUCUGUUUAUAUUCAAAUCAUGUUUUCAAGGCUAUUUUGAUAACAAUCAGAAACACAAAAAAGGGGAAGGGAAGAGAGAAACACACCUUUGCAAAGAGUGAGUUCUAUACAAAACUCAGCUCUGCAGAAACCUUGCAUAAUCAGAGCUUGCUUACGAGCAUGACAAACAGAGAUACAUGAAGGAAGUUCUCUAAACACUACAGCUGGUGAAAAAGAGAAGGGAAAAAGAGAAAAACCACACAAUUCUGCAGAGACAUACUUGUUUUAGAUGUAACUGUUGUUUUAUUUUCAUUAUAAUUUAGUUGAGUGCUGAAUCAAGUGCUUCAAGGCACUGAAAACAGAAGCAAUGAAGAUAUAAAUAUAAGGCUGAAGGAAAAUGUGAUAAGGAAAAUUUGUGUAAAUAAUCCAACCACACAGUUUUGAAGUACCUCUGUUUUGUAAAAAGAGACAAUACCUACGCCGGUUUCCUUGUCAUCACUAAUUUUCAAGGCCUAAGGCCAAAAAGUAGUCACCCGCAGUGGCUGUGUGGCUAUAUUUAUAGAACUAAAGGCAUCUGCCCCAGCAAGAUAGGUUAAUCAUAAAUAAUCACACUUUUGUGUUUUUGCAGUCCAGAAUGUCUGAAAUAAGGUGGCUGAGUUCACCUGGUGUGGAAGAAGGUGCUGGAGUGCUAGUACCUGUGAGCAUGGAAAUUCUCCCUGUCUGAAAACACUGAAAAUAGGCAUGUCAUUUCUGAACCACUCUGAUGCAAAAUUAGCUGUACUUUUGACUGUAGUUUUCACAUCAUACAGGACUUGUUACUGUUCUUAAGAAGUAGUAUGUUGAACAUAUGUGCUUGUUUGAGUCUUUAGAAACUUGAAAGGUAUCAGAUGCAAUCAUUUUCUUUGAAUCAGAUAAUCUUAAUAACACUGGUAUUCUUGCUGGCCUCUCAUCCUUGCACACCAAAUGAACAGCAGCCAUUUCCAAAUGGUGUGGUUUAUUCAGUGUUUUUAUUUUUCAGUUACUCCCAAACCCAAACUCAUGUAUUUAGAAGUCUUCAUUGCUUAUCCCUGAUUAUGUCUCAUCUUUGAUUUAGAUUUUUGCAUUCAAAGCCCUUCAUUCUGGUGGAUCUUCUGUUUAAAUGACUUUGUGAUGAAGAAUUCUUCAUCUCUCUCCAAGCUCUUGUCAGGUGCAGUGUAUGGAUGGCCCUUUGUGGUUUCAUCUAGCUGAAACAAAGCUGCAUGGAAUUAUUAAACCUGCUGUGGCUCAUUUUCAGGCGUCUUCAUGACUGGGAAUUUAUUUUAUGUGACUGCUUGGUUCUGUUUAUGAUUUAUUUGUUUUUCUUCCUGUUUUACUUUCUAUUACUUCUGUGUAUUAGACAUAUGGUAAUUCUCUUUGACUGUAAAUGUGUGGUAUUGGUAAAUUGUGUCAUCUGAGCAUAUCAUCUGAUAGAGACAGUUUUGUACUGAACUGUUUUACAGCUCCAAUCUAGCACUGUUUGCAAAACAACUUUGAAAAAUAAAUACUGGUGAUGCAGUCCUGCCAGUCACUGUGCGUCUCCUCCCUUCACAGCUCUUUAGUGGGCUGGGACGAUCAGCAGCAGGCUGGCGCUAAUCCUGGAUCCCCGUGACUCAGCAAUGUGGUUUUGUCUUCUGAUGUGAUUCCAUUUUACCCAUUUGCAGAAGCAAGCAAAGGAGUCCUGCUGCAUAUGAGAAUCUUUUAAUCUAAAACAAUAAGAACUCAUCAGCUGCCAUCAGACUCGAGGAAAACAGCAGCGUUUUGGAUUUCUUCCACGGCGUCAUUUACAAGAACUCACAUCAAGCCGCUUUAUCAUCUGUCUGCAAUGUUUCAUUCCUGUUAUCAAGCAGUAACACAGCUCCGAGAGGCAACUAUUGUGAUCCCAGAAGACUUUGAAAUUACGGCUUAAAAUAAUCAAAGCAAUUCUAAAAAAGUAUGUGAACUCAUCCUAACCACUUGGUUGUGCUCAAAACAUUCAAAAAUGAGCAGGUUAUUGCUAAAACCAUGCCUAAAGUGAUAUGUUUUGACAGGAUUUUCAGCCACUAGUAAUUUGAUUAUACAAGAUAUUCCUCAUAAUUUGAAUCAAGGUGCAAUUGGCUUGAGAUUUUAAGCUGAUAUUUUUCUGGCAAGACUCUGCUUCCUUUAUAUGAUAGAUUUACUCUGGCUACAGCAUUUUAUUUCUCAUUAAAUUAGCCAGCCAACAUUCACAAAUGAGGGAAUUGCCUGAUUUAGUAGUAAUUUGUACAGAGCUCCGUUACAUCUUUGUAACACAGGUUUAUUUGGGGGUUGUGGCAAGCCAGGCUCUUUCCUGAUGAGAAGUCUGGCAGUCACCGUCGAAGCCAGCUCCUCCAUGUUUAUCUAGAUACAAGAGCUGUCCCACUUUAAUUACACUGAUACAGUUUAAGUGACAUGCUCACCCCUAGUGUUGAUGCAAUAUAAAAGAGCUUAUGUUAUUACAGCUGCUCAAGUCCAGAAGACACCUAAGUCAGUAUCAGAUAGCUUCAUUCCAGGACAAGUAUGUCGGCACUCAAGUUUUAGCUGGUUUAAUCUAAGUUUAAGAUAGUAUUUAAAUGAAAAUACCUGGUAUGACUAUAGUGGAUUCGGGCUGCGUCCUUCCUGGGACAGGAACCUCCGAAAAGUCCUCCAGAGCUGAUAGUCCUAAUGCGACAUUGCAGCCUAAUCAAACUGGCUCGUGUGUGUGCUAUAUAUUGGGGGUUUUUACUUGCUUUCUUCCCCAGUAAUCUGGGAAACUGAACAUUGAUUGCACCUCUUGCUUAUUUCUGCAGAGAAAUAAGCCUUGUGCAGCCUUCUUGCAUCACUGCUCUGUCAUUACUACUAAGUAAACAGAGCCGGGGACCGCUGUCUGAUCCGGAGGCUGAAUAGCACAGACUGGCUAUAUCCAUGCUACGUAGUGCUCGACCCUGAUCUCCCAUCUGGAGACGCUGUAGACAAUAAGACGUUGUUAUUAAUGCAUGUGUGUGUUUCUUCUUUUUUUUGUUUUUAAUUUCUGCUGUAAUAGCUGUACUGCAGCUCAGAAGAACAGUGUUUUAUUGCAUGAAACAGGGCAGCUAUUGCAUGUGCAAGGGUGGGGAGGAGGCAUGCUAGAGGCUGCGAAGCACUGGGAAGGUGUCCUGGUGCUUAUUUCAGCACAUGGGACAAAGCUUGGGUGCAGAGCAAAGGGGGAGUCCAUGACGCUUCCCAUCCAUGCCCUUCUGGUGGGGAAGGGAGACUUAGGGGGCCCUCAUGCCUUCGCCACUAGCGUGAGGCCACUCGGGUCAUGUCAUGGCGAUGGCGUGUGGUUGCCCUGUUCCACUUUCACACUGCACACGCACAGGCAGGCCAUCCCUGCUCCGGUCACAGGUUCCUCGCUUGGAUAUAUUCCCUUGGCUCCUCACUUGGUUGUAUUUCCCGGUCUAUGUGUGAGGCUAUUCUGCCACCUCUCUGUAGUUGCAGGAGCUUAUGUUAAAGCACAUCAACAAAGUGGCUUAGGUUUGAAACUGUGCUUGAAACUGCUCUGCCUUCAUUUAUAAAAGUCAGUUUCUCAUCAAUUUUUUCUUUUCUCUCUAGUAUAAGCAACAUUGUUAUCCUUGCUUUGUUUGUUGGAAUCACAUAUGAAAUAUUUCACUAUAUGUGUGUAUAGGUUACAAAUCUAUUCACUGUCUCUUCCAUAUGUUUAAGAAAAACAAGCUUAUAUGAAUUAUCUACAGCAGAUAAUUUCACCUCUGCACAGAGUCUAAAAAUAAAGCAGAGCCCACAUUCUACAGCUAAGUAGGCUUUAAUUAGGUGUGAUAAUAGCAUGAAUUGUCUCUUAGAGCACAACAGCUCAGCAAAAUCAGAAGUCAAGUGCUCUGAGUGAUAAUUGUCUGCUAAAAUGUUCCAUUAAGGGAAGAACCUCAAUGCGUGGCAUGCACUUGUUUUUCAUAUAACAGGUUUUGGCAGUCUGAUUAACAUUUUGGGUCAAUCUGGGCUUCUUCAGCUAUUGUCACUGUUUCGAUAUAGCCAGUGCAUCCUUCCGAGUACUAAAGUAAAAGGAGGACAGUGAAACUCUGCCUCUGUAAGCCCCCAUCAGCAGCAAUUUCACAGUGGUGCCUUUGGAGAUGACAGGUGGGAUUGCUGCUUUCUGAAGAUUAGUGACCGAAGUGCUGGGGAGGUGCAGGGGACACUUCGGUAACAGGCAGCUUGAGUGGAGCAAGCCUUCCCUUUCUGCUAGGAAAGCGGGGAGGGGUGUAUGUUAUGAAUAGUGAGAUUUCUCCAGAGACAGAUGCUUUUCAGUGAUUAUAUCUUUAUUAGGCACAGCCACUGAUGAAAAAAACAAAACAAAACAAAAAACAACCCUCUACCAACCCACCACAGAUGAUAUUUUAGGCGGUCUGAGGACCUGGAGUACCGUGCUAGAGGAACAAAACCCUCACUAUCUAGUUAGCUCUCAGAUAAAAAACACAGGGAUUGCCCUCACCUCACUUCAGUGAAAUGGAUACUUCUGAGCUAAUUUCAGUGCCUACACCGGGGUGAAAAGAUUUAUACCCUAGAGGUGCCCAUUUCCCUCUGCUGGCCAGGAAGGGAGCGUGGAGUGCUUAGCCCAGACCCAGUUCGUUUUCUCAGAUCUCUGCCCACUAUUUUGGCCUUAGAUAAAUUCUGGGUUUUCUCAUGAAUAACGGUAAACAGAGGUGAAGGCUUGUAUUCUGUCCUGCCUGCCCUGGCAGAGGCCAGGAACCUCCAGCAGAGCUGACAGCAGAGGGUUUCAUGUCGUAAACCAGCACAGCUAACGCUGCCAGCGCCUGUCUCGUCAGAGCCCUCGUUUAUGCCAACCGUGGGGACAUUCUCAGCGAGUUUACCAGCUAAGAUGCUUUAUCUUCGCUGUGUUUUCAACUCAUGCAAAUCAUUUAGCACUGGGGGAGGGAAGAAUGUAGCUUUUUUUCGGCAGGGAAGACAAACCUUAAAGAAAGGUCUUUUAAGGAUAAGAGACUCUUUCCCUCAUCUUGCCACAUGGAUGGUACUUGGCACUUGGUACUUGACUGUAGGCAGAUGCAAGCACAGUGUGUUUGAGCGCCAGUACAUAGGCAGAAGUAAGGAAGUUAUUGCGCCCGUAGGAAACGUGGAUAUAUCCUGUGACGCUGACCGUGCUGCACUACGAGACCUCUAACAACAGCCUCAUCAGAUGGGCACUGUGCAGGGGAAGUUUCUGCAGGAUGCUGCACCAGACAGCAGGGACCGGUGUGCCAGGUUGGAGGUUGGAUGCAGCCCAUGAACGUUGCUGCCCAAGUCUCACUAGUGUGCCAGAAAUGUGCCGUCUCGUGCCUGUUUGUGGGAGGCCGCGGGCUCCUCGCUGUUCUCCUGCCCUCCUGGUCUCUGCAGGGCGCCGCUGCGGCUCGCAGACAGGACGGUAUCAUGUGGCAUCCGCAAACUGCCUCGCGUACGGGAAACCAGUUCACUGCUCCUUCUGAACAGGCCUUUGUGCAUUUGCCCAGAGGACUUCGUAAAAAUUAAUUGAGUUGCCCAGCAUUAGACACAGAUCAUAAAACUCCCAUCUGAUCUAAUGCCUGCUGCUGAUCUUAACAGCUGAUUGAAACGAUGAGUGCUGGCUCUUCGCGAAUAUCAUAAAAAUCACACAGAUAGCUAUAACGCAGGCUGUAUAUUUAGAUAAGGCUUUAAACUUACGACGAAAACACUCUGCCUGUCUCACAGGCUUAGUCGCCUAAUGGGAGUAAAAGCCUUGGGCACGGGUUUAAACGUAGCAUGAAUGAAGGAGAUUAUUAUUUGAGUUACAAGUUUUGCAGAAGAGCAGAUCUGUUCAUCCAUCUACUUAUCUAUCCAUCUAUCUAUCUAUCUAUUUAUUUAUUUCCUCGUUCAUUUGAAAGAGAAAUAAACAUGUAGAAAGAGAGAAGAACUGGAGAGCAGCCAGUCAAAGAACAGAAAGCUUUGCCAUGAACAUGUCUCAUUUCUGCCUGACGCCAUCUGAAACACCAUUGCGACCUCCCUGGCAGACUCUGACACGUACCUAUGCUCUAAGCUCUGGGAAAUGAAAGCAAAUGGAGGCCUGUUUUACCUAGAAAGCUUGGAGAGCUGAGGACUAACAUCCCUGUUAAAUAAAGCCACCACAAACCAUC